rnacentral:rRNA from 1 species
UACGUAGGGUGCGAGCGUUAAUCGGAAUUACUGGGCGUAAAGUGUGCGCAGGCGGCAGAGCAAGUCGAGUGUGAAAGCCCCCGGGCUUAACUUGGGAAUUGCGCUCGAAACUACUUUGCUGGAGUGUGGCAGAGGAAGGUGGAAUUCCACGUGUAGCGGUGAAAUGCGUAGAGAUGUGGAGGAACACCAAUGGCGGAAGGCAGCCUUUGGCCAACUAGGUCGAA